CUGUAAGAAAGUCGAAUAUCCCGAUAGAAGUUGUAAACAAGCAUAAGAAGAGUUCUACAAUGUUGAAGCUAAAUUAUUAUCGAGAAUUAUGAGAAAAAAGAAUGUUAACACAAUGUAAUAAGGAAGAGAUAUUUUUAUUUAUCCUAUUUAUUCAAAAUGAUAGAAGUACGCAUGACAAAUAAAAAAUGUAUCUGAUGACAAGAAGCGGCGUUAGAAAUUAUGUCAUUGUAUAUGAAUAUUAAUGAAAUAGUGAUAACACAUUGAAUUGUAUUUGUGCCUUCUUUUCUCUCUUUUUAUUUACAUUGUUUAAAUAAUAGAUCAAGGAAACAUUUGUUCACGGAAUGGAAAUACAUAGGCUUACUAUUGAUGAUUAUCAUAGGUUACCACUGACCCAUGUGGCAGAGAACAUGUUAAAGACAUUCGUGUUUAUGAGUAGAGUUAAAGCGUAGCCUGUUCGCUUCUACGUUGUUUGGUAUUAAAUCUCCUCGAUAAACGUUCGAUUAGGAAAUGGCAAAUUAGCGAAAGAGCAAGUGGUUAUUCUCGGUCGAAAUGGCAUUUGUGCACCUGCUAUCCCUGCCAUUCAAAUAUUACAAUGAAACGUAUCUUUGAACUGGACUUUACUGAAGGAACUUCGUCAGCAAUGUCAAGGACCUUUUGCUUCUCUGUGUAGUAAAACGAUAGUUCCUGUUCACACAGAGUAUAUGAGUCGAGUCACGUCAAGUUCAUCUAUGUUUAGAUUACAAUAACACUUACCUUGUAAAUUGAACUCUACUAAAUACAGGUAAUCGAGAAAUUCGUCUACACUUACGUCUAUUAACUAAGAAUUUUAUAAAUAGUCGAAUAGUCGGAUUCAAAAAUUAUCUUGUAUUUUAUUGACACAGAAACAUAAAGAGUCAAUUACAAAAAGAUUCUUCAUCGUUCAAUCAUGGUGCCAGUUGACCACGUUGAGCAUACAUCUUUCAUUUCCCAAUAUAAAAAUAAAGUGACGAAUAAAAUCCCGUCAUCAUUUACUAUACUAUCACUUUGGAUCAAGUUUACAAGCUAUCGGUACUAACUGACUGUUUCCUUUUUUUAAUAGUUUAAAUAAGUAGUCUCUUGGUUGUGACUUCUGUAAUCGAUAAGAUAAUGAUUCAUGAUAUUUUGUAUCGAUGUAAUUUCAAGCGGUUUUCUCUCUUUAAAAUGCAGAA